rnacentral:rRNA from 1 species
CGUAGGGUGCGAGCGUUAAUCGGAAUUACUGGGCGUAAAGCGUGCGCAGGCGGUUUUGUAAGACAGAUGUGAAAUCCCCGGGCUCAACCUGGGAACUGCAUUUGUGACUGCAAGGCUGGAGUGCGGCAGAGGGGGAUGGAAUUCCGCGUGUAGCAGUGAAAUGCGUAGAUAUGCGGAAGAACACCGAUGGCGAAGGCAAUCCCCUGGGCCUGCACUGACGCUCAUGCACGAAAGCGUGGGAGCAAACAGGAUU